rnacentral:rRNA from 1 species
GAUGAACGCUAGCGGCAGGCUUAAUACAUGCAAGUCGAGGGACAGCACAGGUAGCAAUACUGGGUGGUAACCGGCAAACGGGUGCGGAACACGUACACAACCUUCCUUUAAGUGGGGGAUAGCCCAGAGAAAUUUGGAUUAAUACCCCGUAAUAUAGUUGAAUGGCAUCAUUUGAUUAUUAUAGCUACGGCGCUUAAUGAUGGGUGUGCGGCUGAUUAGAUAGUUUGCGGGGUAACGGCCCACCAAGUCUACGAUCAGUAGCUGAUGUGAGAGCAUGAUCAGCCACACGGGCACUGAGACACGUGCCCGACUCCUACGGGAGGCAGCAGUAAGGAAUAUUGGUCAAUGGACGCAAGUCUGAACCAGCCAUGCCGCGUGAAGGAUUAAGGCCCUCUGGAUUGUAAACUUCUUUUAUUUGGGACGAAAAAGGGCCUUUCUAGGUCAACUGACGGUACCAGAUGAAUAAGCACCGGCUAACUCCGUGCCAGCCGCCGCCGUAAUAC